rnacentral:rRNA from 1 species
GACGAACGCUGGCGGCGUGCUUAACACAUGCAAGUCGAACGAAAAGAGGGAAAGAGCUUGCUCUUUCCGGAAUUGAGUGGCAAACGGGUGAGUAACACGUAAACAACCUGCCUUCAGGAUGGGGACAACAGACGGAAACGACUGCUAAUACCGAAUAAGUUCCAAGAGCCGCAUGGCCCAUGGAAGAAAAGGUGGCCUCUACCUGUAAGCUAUCGCCUGAAGAGGGGUUUGCGUCUGAUUAGCUGGUUGGAGGGGUAACGGCCCACCAAGGCGACGAUCAGUAGCCGGUCUGAGAGGAUGAACGGCCACACUGGAACUGAGACACGGUCCAGACUCCUACGGGAGGCAGCAAUGGGGAAUCUUCCGCAAUGGGCGAAAGCCUGACGGAGCAACGCCGCGUGAGUGAUGACGGCCUUCGGGUUGUAAAACUCUGUGAUCCGGGACGAAAAGGCAGAGUGCGAAGAACAAACUGCAUUGACGGUACCGGAAAAGCAAGCCACGGCUAACUACGUG